rnacentral:rRNA from 1 species
GACAGAGGAGCCAAGCGUUGUCCGGAUUGACUGGGCGUAAAGCGCACGCAGGCGGUCGCGCGCGUGGGGUGUGAAAUCUGGCCGCUUAACGGCCAGGCGCCAUCCCAUACGGCGCGACUGGAGUGAUGCAGAGGUCGAUGGAAUUGCCGGUGUAGUGGUGAAAUGCGUACGAGAUCGGCAGGAACACCCAGGGGGAAACCAGUCGACUGGGCAUCUACUGACGCUGAGGUGCGAGAGCGUGGGGAGCGAACCGG